rnacentral:rRNA from 1 species
UGACUGACCGAUAGUGAACCAGUACCGUGAGGGAAAGGCGAAAAGAACCCCGGCGAGGGGAGUGAAAAAGAACCUGAAACCGUGUACGUACAAGCAGUGGGAGCACCCUUUGGGGUGUGACUGCGUACCUUUUGUAUAAUGGGUCAGCGACUUAUAUUCUGUAGCAAGGUUAACCGAAUAGGGGAGCCGGAGGGAAACCGAGUCUUAACCGGGCGUUAAGUUGCAGGGUAUAGACCCGAAACCCGGUGAUCUAGCCAUGGGCAGGUUGAAGGUUGGGUAACACUAACUGGAGGACCGAACCGACUAAUGUUGAAAAAUUAGCGGAUGACCUGUGGCUGGGGGUGAAAGGCCAAUCAAACCGGGAGAUAGCUGGUUCUCCCCGAAAGCUAUUUAGGUAGCGCCUCGUGAAUUCAUCUCCGGGGGUAGAGCACUGUUUCGGCUAGGGGGCCAUCCCGGCUUACCAACCCGAUGCAAACUGCGAAUACCGGAGAAUGUUAUCACGGGAGACACACGGCGGGUGCUAACGUCCGUCGUGAAGAGGGAAACAACCCAGACCGCCAGCUAAGGUCCCAAAGUCAUGGUUAAGUGGGAAACGAUGUGGGAAGGCCCAGACAGCCAGGAUGUUGGCUUAGAAGCAGCCAUCAUUUAAAGAAAGCGUAAUAGCUCACUGGUCGAGUCGGCCUGCGCGGAAGAUGUAACGGGGCUAAACCAUG